GUAGGUGGCAAGCGUUGUCCGGAAUUAUUGGGCGUAAAGCGCGCGCAGGGCGGUCCUUUAAGUCUGAUGUGAAAGCCCACGGCUCAACCGUGGAGGGUCAUUGGAAACUGGGGGACUUGAGUACAGAAGAGGAAAGCGGAAUUCCAAGUGUAGCGGUGAAAUGCGUAGAGAUUUGGAGGAACACCAGUGGCGAAGGCGGCUUUCUGGUCUGUAACUGACGCUGAGGCGCGAAAGCGUGGGUAGCAAACAGGAUUAGAUACCCUGGUAGUCCACGCCGUAAACGAUGAGUGCUAAGUGUUAGGGGGUUUCCGCCCCUUAGUGCUGCAGCUAACGCAUUAAGCACUCCGCCUGGGGAGUACGGCCGCAAGGCUG
rnacentral:rRNA from 1 species